AACCUUCUUCAAUCUACUAGCAACAACUUUAGAAACAAUUUUGCUCACCACCCCGAUCAAAUUAAUAGGCCGGUACUCUAUGCACAUUUAAUAUUAUGAAUUAGCAACACAAAGUUGCUUCACUGAGUUGUACACUUAGCUUUAGAGAGAUAUGCAUACACACACAUCAAGUGCACAGAGAGGAGAGAGAUGUAUAGUUCUCCCGUCGUCGGAAAACGACGGCCUUAAUCUCGCCAUUUCGAUUGCAUAGUCGGUGCAUGAUCUCGGAGAACCGUUCUGUUUAGCAUAAGAUCUAAGCCCUAAUUUUCUGAUGAAGAAAACGACCCAGCCAGUUACAUCACGCGGCGCCGCCAAGCGAUUUAGGGGUCCAGGACUGUAGGGUUGUAUUUGAAGAAAAUAUAUCUAAAGAAGGCUUACAAAAUUAAAUCUCUCAGGUACUUCCAGAGUAUUUAAUUUUAGUAUGGCGAUUAAUUAACACACUGAAGGAUUAUAGCAAAGUAUUUUGAGGAGAAGAAGACUGAUAUCCAAGCUAAAGUUCUUUAAAUCUAUGAGGCUUCAAGUGCUGACCUAAUAUUAAGUGUGCAUUUUAUCUUCUCCUAAAGAAGUAAGCGGAACAGACGAACUGCCAAUCUCAGAACAACAACAAAGCAAACUGAAAUCCAACCUAAAACUCCUACAGUGCCGUUAGGAAAACGAACUGUUCAAGCUGACAGUAUUCAUGGUCAACGUGUCAUUAUCAUAUCUGAUGUAACCGCAAGAUUGACAUACAAGAAUGUUCCCACAUGGCAUCGUGAUCUUUGUCGGUAUUUUGGAGGUCAAUAAAUGAAGGGUGCCGAGAGACGUGUCUUCUUCAACUAUGCGGUGGAAUGGAUGAAAAUGCUGUUGGGAUGUGUGUUGAACUUAUAUUCGCUCCCUUCGAUUCUUCUUUUGCUGAUGAUGCACCUCUUUUGCCUUCGGGCUUUCGGAUCAUUCCUCUUGAUUCUGGCAAGGAGAAAUCAAGUCCAAAUCGCACUCUCGAUCUUGCUUCUGCUUUAGAGAUACGAACAUCUAGGAAUAAGUUACGAGGUGAUCAUAACUCUGGCAGUGGGACCAUAAGAUCAGUGGUGACAUUUGCAUUUUGCAUUUCACAUUUGAGAAUCACAUGCAAGAAAAUGUAGCAUCAAUGGCUAAGCCAAUAUGUUUGAACCAUUAUCUCCUCAAUCAAUUCAGAGGGUGGCAUUGGCACUGGCUCCAUCUCACCUUAAUCCUAAUGGUGGUCUUAGUGCACCCAUGGGCACCACUGAAGCUCAUACCCUCGCUAGGUAGAUCUGCAAUAGCUACAGGUGUUACUUGGGCGUUAAGCUCCUUACUUGGGGAUGUGUUUUAUUGAGCAUGGGGAGUUCGGUUUCUUAUCAGCGAGCAUCUGCUACAUGUUUAUUAACUGGUCUUCAUAUGAAGAAGCUUCUGCUGCAUGUUUAUUAAACUGAUAUGAAAAAACUUUUGGAUACUAAUGUCUCUCAUUUUGCCUUGAUUUCAUUAAAACAAUAUUAGUCUCGAAACUAUUGGAUACAAAUGUCUCUUUGCCGCCCCCGCAACGCGGGGCGGGUAAAAAUUCUAGUUAAUUGUUACA